ACAGGUAACCUGCCUGUAAGACUGGAAUAAUCCAUCGAAAGGUGGCCUAAUGCCAGAUAUUAUGGCCGGCUCUAUGGCUGGUUAUGAAACGGUUGGUGCCCGCAAGGGUCUUCCGCUUACAGAUGGGCCUGUGACCUAUCAGCUUGUUGGUGAGGUAACGGCUCACCAAGGCUAUGACGGGUAGUCGGCCUGAGAGGGUGUUCGACCCGACUGGGACUGAGACACUGCCCAGACUCCUACGGGAGGCAGCAGAGGAGGAUAAUCGGCAAUGGGCGAAAGCCUGACCGUGCGACGCCGCGUGAGCGAUGAAGGCCUUCGGGUUGUAAAGCUCUGUGAGGAACUACGAAAGUUUGGAGGGUAAAUAGCCCUUCGAGCUGACCAGUUUCAGAGGAAGGCGCGGCCAACUACGUGCCAGCAGCAGCGGUAAAACGUAGGCGCCAAGCGUUAUUCGGGAUCACUGGGCGUAAAGCGCGCGUAGGCGGAUUCAUAAGUCGAGUAUAAAAUCCCUCGGCUCAACCGGGGAACCGUGCUCGAUACUGUGAAUCUUGAGUGCAGGAGGGGAGAGUGGAAUUCCCGGUGUAGCGGUGAAAUGCGUUGAUAUCGGGACGAACGCCUGUGGUGAAAACGGCUCUCUAGUCUGCUACUGACGCUGAAGUGCGAAAGCCAGGGGAGCAAACGGGAUUAGAUACCCCGGUAGUCCUGGCCGUAAACGAUGGGCACUAGGUAGAGGAGGUUCCGAUACUUUCCCUGCCGUAGCUAACGCGUUAAGUGCCCCGCCUGGGGAGUACGGCCGCAAGGCUAAAACUCAAAGGAAUUGACGGGGGCCCGCACAAGCGGUGGAGUAUGUGGCUCAAUUCGAGUCAACGCGAAGAACCUUAUCCUGGGCUUGACAUGCUAGUGGUACAAACCUGAAAGGGGGAGGACCCUGUUUUACAGGGAGCUAGCACAGGUGCUGCAUGGCUGUCGUCAGCUCGUGUGGUGAGAUGUCGGGUUAAGUCCUAUAACGAGCGAAACCCCUGUUCCUAGUUACCAUCGGGUCAUGCCGGGGACUCUAGGGAGACUGCCCGGGUCAACCGGGAGGAAGGUGGGGAUGACGUCAAGUCCUCAUGGCCUUUAUGCCCAGGGCCGCACACGUACUACAAUGGCCGGUAUAGAGGGACGCCAAACCGCGAGGUGGAGCAAAUCCCACAAAGCCGGCCCCAGUUCAGAUCGGAGGCUGCAACUCGCCUCCGUGAAGUCGGAAUCGCUAGUAAUCGCAGAUCAGCAGGCUGCGGUGAAUAUGUUCCCGGGCCUUGUACACACCGCCCGUCAAGCCGCCAAAGUCGGGGAUACCCGAAGUCGCUCUGCCAACUCGCAAGAGAGGCGAGCGCCGACGGUAGACUCGAUGAUGGUGACUAAGUCGUAACAAGGUA
rnacentral:rRNA from 1 species